GACGAACGCUGGCGGCGUGCCUAAUACAUGCAAGUUGAGCGCUGAAGGUUGGUCCUUGUACCAACUGGAUGAGCAGCGAACGGGUGAGUAACGCGUGGGGAAUCUGCCUUUGAGCGGGGGACAACAUUUGGAAACGAAUGCUAAUACCGCAUAAAAACUUUAAACACAAGUUUUAAGUUUGAAAGAUGCAAUUGCAUCACUCAAAGAUGAUCCCGCGUUGUAUUAGCUAGUUGGUGAGGUAAAGGCUCACCAAGGCGAUGAUACAUAGCCGACCUGAGAGGGUGAUCGGCCACAUUGGGACGGAGACACGGCCCAAACUCCUACGGGAGGCAGCAGUAGGGAAUCUUCGGCAAUGGACGAAAGUCUGACCGAGCAACGCCACGUGAGUGAAGAAGGUUUUCGGAUCGUAAAACUCUGUUGGUAGAGAAGAACGUUGGUGAGAGUGGAAAGCUCAUCAAGUGACGGUAACUACCCAGAAAGGGACGGCUAACUACGUG
rnacentral:rRNA from 1 species